CAUUGAGGUGUUGAAAGAAGCUCCCGCAAGCGUUGAAGAGAACACAACCGCUGUCAGUAAAGCAAAGCAUCCACAAGCCUUGUGACGCCGAGACCAGGAUACUUUUACCGAGCAAAAAUCGCAGUGCAUGGACAUCAGAAGCAUUAAUAAACAGAUCUAAACGAGGACAGCAGAUCAAAACAAACUACAUCGUUACGAAACUGCUAACCAAGAGAGAUAGAAUCCUCAUCACGCAUCUCAUUAUUGAUGAAUUUGUGGAUGAAUUUGGAAAGCUGUCGAAGCAUGAGCUUGUUUUAAGAGCUAAACAGUUAACAAAAGUAUUUCCUACAGUUGAUGAGUAUAUAUGGUACCAACCUACGUUCUAUCAUGAUGAAUGUGGUAACAAGAUUAAACUUAAUCGGCUAGCAAGAGGUUGCCUGUAUGACCGAAACAACAACUACAAAGCAGAAAGCAUCAAUAGAUCAAAAGCGCCAACGGAAAAUUACCGAACAAUCAACGAAAAUUCUGUAGAAGAAAGCGUGUCGGAACAAGAAGUUGCUGCGUAAGGUGAAACUAAACGUUGGCUGCGGCAUCAUUUAGAUGAGUGGGAAGAUUUGAAAGCACGAUGGAUAAAUUCCAGCUCAAUAAGAUUGUAUGAAAUCACAAAAGCUUGUAUGAAGGGUUUGACAUACGAUCGAAUCUUGAUUGAAUAUCCGGUUCUGUGUAUCAACGACGGUUAUCAACUUAUAAGAAUUGUUUUUAAUCAUUGUCAUCAGGAGAAAAGUAAUCUGUUAUUUAUUAGAUUCGAGGAUUUCCGCUAUCGCAUACGAAGUGUUUUCGAUAAUGAUGUAGGUGAACAGGGAAAGUGUUUACUUAAACUUCUUGGAGAAAUUUUUUUU